rnacentral:rRNA from 1 species
UACGUAGGGGGCAAGCGUUGUCCGGAAUCAUUGGGCGUAAAGAGCGUGUAGGCGGCCCGAUAAGUCCGCUGUGAAAGUCCAGGGCUCAACCCUGGAAUGCCGGUGGAUACUGUCGGGCUCGAGUUCGGAAGAGGUGAGUGGAAUUCCUGGUGUAGCGGUGAAAUGCGCAGAUAUCAGGAGGAACACCGAUGGCGAAGGCAGGCCUCUGGGCAUUAACUGACGCUGAGGAGCGAAAGCAUGGGGAGCGAACAGG